UCCUUUAUCCCCAGUUCAAAUCUGGGUGUCGCCUGAUUGACRAA
rnacentral:tRNA from 1 species